AAAUCUUAACAAAAUUUUAAACUGCAAAUUUAAAAAAGAUUAAUUUCUAAGA
rnacentral:tRNA from 1 species